AUUUUCUUGUGGUAUUCCUACUAAUUCAAGGGUCCUUUACAACUUGGUGUAAUUAUUUUGGAAGAAAGAACACUUGUUUCUUCAAGUUGACAACUUGGUCAAGUGAAGAAGAUUGUAGAAAAAGAUUUUGGCGAACUUGAAACUUGAUUUUGGAGACGUGUAUGAAGCGGAAAAGGUCAGCAGACAGGUGGACUUGAUCCUUAGGAGCUCUACCAGCGGUACUCUACAGUGCUCCAGUUGUUCCGGAGCCUCACUUCCGCGGUACUAUUUUGUGUAUGUAUAUUCGGGCACGACAGUACCCGGCCCUUUCUAUGUAUAAGUGUACUAUGUCUAGAGGCUCGUAGACAGAUAUGCCCAGUCAGUCAAGUACAGUUAGAUAUAUGGUGUGUUGGCAUUUUAAUGUUGUUGUAUAAAGUGAUAACGAAGUUUACUAGUCUAUGUUCAUAAUGAUGCUGCUAAUGUUAAUGUUAAAAAAAAAAAUAUAUGGCACAGUUCCUACGGC